rnacentral:tRNA from 1 species
UGACAGAGUGGCUUAUUGUAUCUCUUUGCUAAAGAGAAGUCGUUUAAAAGCGACCACAGGUUCGAAUCCUCCCAACGGCACCA